GAGACGCUAGUAAAGCUAGUGAUUACACUGCCUUGUCAAGGCAGGAGCGUGGGUUGAACUCCCGCGCGUCUUA
rnacentral:tRNA from 1 species